GACGAACGCUGGCGGCGUGCUUAACACAUGCAAGUCGAACGGUGAAGCGCCUUCCUUUUUGGUGGGUGUGGAUGAGUGGCCAACGGGGUAGUAACACGUUAGUAACCUUCCACCUUCUUCUGGAUAACCGCAUGAAAGUGUGGCUAAUACGUGAUAUUCUGAAUCUGUCGCAUGAUUGGUCUGGGACAGAUAUGGUUUCGGUGGGAGAUGGGCUCGCGGCGUAUUAGCUGGUUGGUGGGGUGAUGGCCUACCAAGGCGGCGAUGCGUAGCCGGCCUGAGAGGGGGAUCGGCCACACUAGAGGUGAGACGCGGGCCAGACUCCUACGGGGGGCAGCAGUAGGGAGUAUUCCGCAAUGGGGGAAAGACUGACGGAGCAACGCCGCGUGGGUGAGGAAGGUCUUCGGAUCGUAAAACUCUGUUAUUAGGGAAGAACAAAUGUGUAAGUAUCUAUGGACGGCUUGACGGUACCUAAUCAGAAGGCCACGGCUAACUACGUG
rnacentral:rRNA from 1 species